AGUGAACGCUGGCGGUAGGCCUAACACAUGCAAGUCGAACGGCAGCACAGUAAGAGCUUGCUCUUACGGGUGGCGAGUGGCGGACGGGUGAGGAAUACAUCGGAAUCUACUUUUUCGUGGGGGAUAACGUAGGGAAACUUACGCUAAUACCGCAUACGACCUACGGGUGAAAGCAGGGGAUCUUCGGACCUUGCGCGAUUGAAUGAGCCGAUGUCGGAUUAGCUAGUUGGCGGGGUAAAGGCCCACCAAGGCGACGAUCCGUAGCUGGUCUGAGAGGAUGAUCAGCCACGCUGGAACUGAGACACGGUCCAGACUCCUACGGGAGGCAACAGUGGGGAAUAUUGGACAAUGGGCGCAAGCCUGAUCCAGCCAUACCGCGUGGGUGAAGAAGGCCUUCGGGUUGUAAAGCCCUUUUGUUGGGAAAGAAAAGCAGCAGGUUAAUACCCCGCUGUUCUGACGGUACCCAAAGAAUAAGCACCGGCUAACUUCGUG
rnacentral:rRNA from 1 species